AACAAUUACGCAUGAGUUGAUUCAUCUAACAUUCAUACAAGUACAUCGCUUGGUAUUAUCUGAACCACUACUACUACUCAGAUCAUGCUUUCUUUAUCCCAAAGCUCCGAAUGAAACAAAUUCAAAUGUGAAUUGUAUACAAUAUAUAUAUUGUCAAUGCAUUGUGAAUGGAUUAUGGAUCGAUUAAUAAUAUGUUGUUGGUGUUCUAAGUAAAAAUAAUAAUGUUUGCUCUCAAAGGUCAAGAGCGAAAUUAUCAAUCAUCAAAUAUUGAUGAUGAAAAUGAUGGAUCCGAAAUUGGUUAUAAUACGACAUUUGUAAAGUCGUUUUAUAACCAGGACCCAUUCAAAUAUCGAUAACCAUGAUGACCACCUGUUCGUUAAUCGUAAGACUUUUAUUCUAUUCUUUGUUUAUUCUGUUUGGUGCGUUAUUGAUCAAAAUUCCUACCAUUGCAUUGCGUGAAUAUGACACGAUGUUGGCCGAUUGUUGGCAAAACAAGAAUCAAUCACCAUCGAAUGAAAAUGGCAUACACAUUAUCGAAGGUAUGCUAUUCACUGACGAUGAAAAUGAUGAUGACGAAAUUCAAGUGUCCAUUAUUGAAUCGAACCUAAAAGCAACAAAACGAUGUCGACAAGAAAUGCUCGAUCAUCUUCGAUUCGAUAUUGGCUUGUCAUGCAUGUUGAUGACAUUAUUAUUAGCUAUACUAUUGCUUUCCAUUCGAUUGUAUUCGAAAUUAUUCUGUUGGCCUCAUAGUGGUAUGCUGGAAUCUGAAACGUUUAUUACCUUCUCAAACGUAGACAAAAAGGCAAAAAUGAAGGAAAAUUAUCAAUAUAUAAUGCCAUAAACUUUAAUAAACAAUCAAUGCUUGUUUGUUACCAUUUUCAAAGCACACAAGGUAAUUGAGUAAAAUGCAAACUAAAACCCUGUUGAGAUUGUUGGCCAUUCAAUCGAUGAUCAUUGUUUGAUCGAACUUUCAACUGGAAUGGCUUUGAACGAGCUAAAAAAAAGAAAGAUAAAAGGACUGUUUGAAUCCUGUCCAUCACAUGUCUGUUUAUUGCU